CUUUUCCUACGGGGGGCAGCAGUGAGGAAUAUUGGUCAAUGGCCGGAAGGCUGAACCAGCCAAGCCGCGUGAAGGACGAAGGUGCCAAGCAUUGUAAACUUCUUUUGUCAAGGGACAAAAUCAGGCUCGAGAGCCUGACCGAGGGUACUUGAAGAAAAAGCAUCGGCUAACUCCGUGCCAGCAGCCGCGGUAAUACGGAGGAUGCGAGCGUUAUCCGGAUUUAUUGGGUUUAAAGGGUGCGUAGGCGGACGGUUAAGUGAGCGGUAAAAGCCGGGGGCGCAACCCAGGCGAG
rnacentral:rRNA from 1 species